UGCAUUUCUAGGGGAUAGUCUCAUAGG
rnacentral:piRNA from 1 species